AGGGGUGUGGUGUAACGGUAGCACGGCUGUUUCCAAAACUGCCUGCGUGGGUUCGAAUCCUGCCGCCCCUG
rnacentral:tRNA from 1 species